UAAAAUAUGUAAUUAAAAUUAAAAUAUUUGGAAUAUUUAGUGAGAGCAAUUUGAAUGUGGCUCAUUUUUCAAAGGAAAACAGUGAAUUUAUGAAUAAUUAGUUACUAAUUAUUUCAUUUGAUGUCAAAUCAACAAGCAUUUAUUAAGCAAUAGGAAUACAAAUUCAAGCAUAAAGAAAACCCUGCCCUCAAGGAGCUAGCAUUCUAAUGGGGGGAGAUUACUUGCAAAAGGAGGCUAAUUAGGAAUGGAGAAGGAGAGAAAGAUUCAGACAUGGCUGACCUGGGCAUCCUUAAGAUGAAGGUUUUGGAAGAAACCAGCAAGAAGGAAAACUUGUAUCAUCUGUCCUUUCAGUACCCUCAAUGUGUGGAAUCCCAGGGUAGGUAAGCCUACCCUGGGGUGAAGAGACAAGAAAGACUGACAGGGAUCUGUUGAAGUUAGUAAAACAGAUUAUACAAUAUCUACAAUGCAAAAACAAGCACAAGUCAGUUGUCUCCAAUUCCAACUGGGCAGAAAGUUUUCAACAGAAAAUCAAGUCGUCUUCUUUAUCUGAUUCUGCUCCAUGGUUGAUAUACCGUGCCUUUUUGAAAAGAUAGACUGAGGUGGAGCAUCCUAUUGGGAAGCUGUUGAAAGAGUGCAAAUGAUAAAUGGAAAACCACUCCAGGACCUGUCAAGAAAACCUUGGAUGGUUCACCAAGAGUCAGAUACAACUGAACAACCGAAAAACAGGGACUUUAUACAGUAAUGGCAAAGGGCAAAAUAGGGGAAUGCUGGGAGAUCGUGGAUGGGGGACAGGUGUGCUCCCGAUUUAGAGGGGAAGAGAAAAAGCAUUUAUUUAGUGACUACCCUGGCUGGCAAGCACUAUGCUAAAGCACUUUUUAUAGUUUUAUCUCAUUUGAGCCUCCAAAUAAUGCUGUUGUCCUUCAAGGUAGGUGCCUUUAUUAUCCCUAUUUUACGAUUGAGGAAACAGGCAAAUGGCUUAAGUGAUUUGCCCAUGAACAGACAUCUAAGAAGCAUCUGAGGCUGGAUUUGAACUCCAGGUCUGGCAGAGAAGUUGCAGCAUGGAAAGAGUGGGGAUUUUAAGCAUCUUCACAUCACCUUCCAGUUGGCUGAUAAACACCUCUGGAGUUUGUGUCCUCGCUCACACUGCAGUAAAAUAUCACCAUCUCUCUUUUACAGAGGAAACCAGAUCUUAGAAAGAAGGUAAGUCACUUCAUCCCAGCUAGUAAAUAUUGGGGCCAGGACCUGAAUCGAGGUCCCACCUGACCCUAUACCCAAUGUGCUCCUUGCCAUCCAUGAUCUCUAAUACCCUUUCCAUUUCUAACAUUCCAUGACCACCUUUUGGUGUCCUUUGGCCUUAGGAACCAAAUAGGAGUCUCUGAGAUCUCUGGAGGGUGGCCUAGCCUAACGUGGCUGUGUUUUUCCCUAGUAUUAGUCCCUUCCUUCACAACAUUGGCUCUUUCUUGUCUUAUUCUCUCCCUGGCCUUCUUUCCAUUCCUAACACCGGACUUUCUGCCUCCCUCCUCUCUUCCCUUUCUCUGGCUGUCUCCAUGCCCACCAUGCUUCCCUCUGUUCCCUCCCCAUCUGCUUUCCUGGAGCCCUUGAAGUACCAUUCAGCAAAGAUGCCUCACCUGGUGCCCUUGCCCUGAUGGAGGACCUUCUCUUGGAAAUUACUUUCUGUUAACCUUGUGGAUAGCUUGUAUGCUGGUCUCCCCCAUUAGAAUGUGAACUCCCAAUAUGUUUUGCCUGAUAAUACAUGUAUAACCCAGAGUGAAUUGCUUGUCAACUCUGGGAUUGGGGAGGGAAGAGAGGAGGGAGACGACAUGAAUCAUGGGACUUUGGAAAACUUAUGUGGAAAUUUGUUAUUGGAAUAAAAUAAAGAUAGUCUUAAAAACUCAAAAAGAAGAAUGUGAACUUCCUGAGGGCGGUGCUUUUACCUUUAGCACUUAGGGAGCAUUUAUCUUUGUUGGCUGACUUGACUACCCCUUAUUACCCCUACAGAGUAGGAUCUAAGUAGCAAGAAAAGCAGAGGAGGUAAAACCUGGAGCCGUUCUAUCUGGGGGAUGAGUGAUGAGCAGGUAAGAGAGGCGAGCCACUCACUACCCCCAGAGACCCCUGGCGAUGGUAAAGCAAGCAUCCCAGGAAACACAGCAAAUUUCCACAGAGAGGAUGGAAGAGAGCUUGAAGAACCAGGCAGCCCUGCCUUGAGCCUGCUAUAUAAAUCUCAUCAAGUUCCUUCAGGCAAAAACUCCUCACCUUCGCAUAGAUGCUAACUUUUUUUUUAAACCCCUUACCUUCCAUCUCAGAAUUCAUACUGUGAAUUGGUUCCAAGGCAGAAGAGCAAGGAGGGCUAGGCAAUGGGGGUUAAGUGACUUGCCCAGGGUCAUACAACUAGGAAAUGUCUGAGCUCAGAUUUGAACCCAGGACCUCCUGUCUCCAGGUCUAACUCUCAAUCCUGCUCUCUGGAUCCCUUUAUUUUUUUAUUUUUGAUUUGUAAAAUAAGUGUUUUGUUUUAUUUUUUUGUUGCUGUUGUUUUAUGGGGGCUAUUGAAAAAUUGUAUUUAAUUAGCUAAUUUAGCAUAUUUUUCCAUGAUUACAAGAAUCAUGUUCUUUUCCUCCCCUCCUCCCACCUCCCUCCCACAGCCAAUGAGCAGUGCCACUGGGUUUUACAUGUGUCGUUGAUCAAGACCUUUUUCCAUAUUGUUUUGUUUGCACUAGGAUGAUCAUUUAGAGUCUACAUCUCUAAAUCCUUUAAAUGGAGUGAGAUGUCCCUUCCUUUUCCAAUUCAAUAUAAUAAAUAUUCAGUUUCUACUGUGUGCCUGGCACUGUGCUAAACACUGGGGAUACUUAAUUAAUAAAAUAAUAUUAAUAUUAAUAAAAAUUAAUAAUUUAUUUUUAAAUAAUAAAUUAAUAAAAGAAAGACAGCCCCUGCCCUCAAGCAGCUUGUAAUCUAGUGGAAGAGAACAACAUACAAAGUAAGGGAGGGAGAGGGUGGAGGUGGUGAAGACCAGGAAGCAUGGGUUGGGGGAGCAUCUUGUUCUAAGAAGUUGAAACCAAGCAGGGAGGCAGAUGGAAAGUGGAGUCGGUGGAGAGUCCAGUUUCUGGGCACUAUGCUAAAAACUGAGGAUACAAAAAGAAACAAAAAACAACACUUGCCCUCAAGAAUCUCACAAUCUCUUGAGGGAGACAACAUGACUCGUCCAAGGUCACACAGCUAUUUAGUGGCAGUGCUGAGACACAUCUGAAAGCCUGCCUCAGUCCAUUCUUACCAUACUGACUUAUUUGUCUCAUGCAGAAAUUUGUCAGGAAGAACCCCCCCCCCAAUAUGAUUCUUGGGGAAAUCCCCAAACAGCUUUUAGCAUAGUGACAUAGUGACAACAGGAGUUAUCACUAGGACUGGGAAAUUGGGCUUUGCCUUCAGAAAGCCAAAAUUUGGAGCAGAUAGCACUUUCGUUCCUUCGUCAAUGCAGAAGUUACUGGAUGCACCUUAUUAGGGGGAAUAAUUGGUCAAACUAGGAAAAGACCAAGUGCCCUACUUUCUCCCCAUUAGCCAGCUCCAAUGGAGCUCAUGUCUGGCCUUUUCUCACCCAAAUCUCCUUCCCUACCCCCACUGCCAUUGCAUGAGCAGACGUGUGGGCUUGUCACAGUAUCUCUGGUGUGAUGUCUGAAUUUCCCACUGAACUUGUUUUAAAAAGUCGAUUUAUGAUCAUGGUAAGAAUUGGUUUCCCCAGGAUUUCACAUUGUCUUCUGGCAUACAAGUCUUGUUAGUUAUGCCUCUAGAGGAUCAGCAGCAUCUUGGCCCAUCCUAGCUUCAUAGCCACGAGCUUAGAAGACAAGAUGGCCCUGGAACUGGCCUCAUCCAUUGACUUUUUGAUGUAUCUCCUAUUCUACAGGCAGGAGACCUCAGGUAGGAAAUUGCAUUUCUCCAUCUUCCUGCAAGGCUGAAAUAUCUCCCCGACAAACAGGAGUAAAUGCUACCAGUGUCGAUCAUGGGGACAGACUGCAUAUGGUCCCAGGGCCAUCACAGCCAUCUCCACCACUUCCAAAGGAGUAUUUAUUAAUUGGGAGACUUGUUUGCUGCCAACAAGUAUUAGAAGAGCAUUUUGCUUUGGCAGCAUUUGCUCUCUGACAGGGUUGAUUGGAUGAGUUCCACCUACUCGUGGGCACCUUCCUCUGCCUUCAUCCAGAGCAUCAACAUCAGACUUAAGCAAAAUGUAGACCCAAAGAAGUUUGCUUUUUUCUCCUCUUGGUCUCUUAAAUGGACUCCUUUGCUGAAACCAACAUCCCUCUUCUCUCUGCAGCUUUUAGAGGACCACAGAAGAAUCCUUAGAAAGUCAUACAUUUUACAAAUGAGGAAACUAAGGUUUCAACUCCCCAAAAAGUAACUUGUCCAAGUCCUUGCCAACUAGAGUAGCCACCAUAUUUUUUUUUCAGGAUGUCUGGUAGCCAUAGAAGCUUCAGAGCUACAGCAUAGUCCUCAGAUUCUUUUGUUUUAAUCCUUACCUUCCAUCUUGAAAUCAAUACUGUAUUGGUUCUAAGAUAUGAGUGGUAAAGGCUAGGCAAGUGGAAUUCAGUGACUUGCCCAGGGUCACACAGAUAGGAAGUAUCUGAGGCCAGCACCAUCUGUCUCUAGGCCUGGCUCUCCAUUCACUGAACCUCCUAGCUGCCCCCAUAGUCUUGGAUUCUGGGCAGCAUAAUAAAGACUGUCCUUGAUUUUGUCUCUCCUUAGACUAGACCAACAAACAACUCAAGAACAUCAGAGUUCAAGAUUGCUCCAAAGAACAUACAUGCUGUGGAUUGAAGACCCAAGCCACAUCUUUCAUUAAGUGGGGAUAUGAAUCGAUUGCCCGAGUUCUUUCGGCUGAUACUCCUGGACACAUUCUUUGCUGAUCCGUGCUUUUACAGAAUAAUGAAGGAGGUUUAGUCUUAAUCUCGUAUCUUCGUGUCCACAGAAUGAUAAACUUUUAUCUCCUUCAAGUAAUUCAGCCUGCUUUCGGAUCGGGCUGGUCUCCUUUGACAGAUGGGACUCUUUUCUUCUCACAUCCCCUUUGGCAAUGGAAAAUAUCAAGAGAGACAUCCGUCUCCUGGCCUCUGACGUUCUUGCGGGGGAGACUGCUGAUGGUCUAGAAUUAAUGUGGCAUUUGAUUUAAUAUGUGGUGCCUGAUAGAGUCACGGACACUCCAUUCAAUCAUUCGGGAAGGAAGCGGGGAGAGGCAGCCUGAUGCUGGCCUGUAAACGGAGAGAAGCCCAAAGUGCUAGAGCUGGGGGGGACCUGCGCCAUCUUGGAGGCCAUCUGCUCUGAGAGCCAAAGAGAGUGACCGCUCAUGUAGUCCGGAGACUGGACGGCAAGCCACAGAACUCGAGCGAAUUCAGCAAGGAAGCACCUACUGAGUCCAGAGUACUGUGCUAGGUGCUUGGGGAGAUGCCGAUGAGAAAUUCAGAUGAAAGGGGGUCCUUAACCUAUUACCUUCCAUCUAUUCGGAAUAUAUCAUGUCUACAUAGA